AACGAACGCUGGCGGCAUGCCUAACACAUGCAAGUCGAACGAGACCUUCGGGUCUAGUGGCGCACGGGUGCGUAACGCGUGGGAACCUGCCUUUAGGUUCGGAAUAACUCAGAGAAAUUUGAGCUAAUACCGGAUAAUGUCUUCGGACCAAAGAUUUAUCGCCUUUAGAUGGGCCCGCGUUGGAUUAGCUAGUUGGUGGGUAAAGGCCUACCAAGGCGACGAUCCAUAGCUGGUCUGAGAGGAUGAUCAGCCACACUGGGACUGAGACACGG
rnacentral:rRNA from 1 species